rnacentral:tRNA from 2 species
GCACUGGUAGCUCAGCUGGAUAGAGCGACGGUCUACGGAACCGUAGGUCAGAGGUUCGAAUCCUCUCCAGUGCA